UACGUAGGGUGCGAGCGUUGUCCUGAAUUAUUGGGCGUAAAGAGCUCGUAGGCGGCUUGUCGCGUCGGAUGUGAAAGCCCGGGGCUUAACUCCGGGUCUGCAUUCGAUACGGGCAGGCUAGAGUUCGGUAGGGGAGAUCGGAAUUCCUGGUGUAGCGGUGAAAUGCGCAGAUAUCAGGAGGAACACCGGUGGCGAAGGCGGAUCUCUGGGCCGAUACUGACGCUGAGGAGCGAAAGCGUGGGGAGCGAACAGG
rnacentral:rRNA from 1 species